AGUAGUGGGGGAUAGCCCGGCGAAAGCCGGAUUAAUACCGCAUACGACCUACGGGUGAAAGCAGGGGAUCGCAAGACCUUGCGCUAUUGGAGCGGCCGAUGGCAGAUUAGGUAGUUGGUGGGGUAAAAGCCUACCAAGCCGACGAUCUGUAGCUGGUCUGAGAGGACGACCAGCCACACUGGGACUGAGACACGGCCCAGACUCCUACGGGAGGCAGCAGUGGGGAAUUUUGGACAAUGGGCGCAAGCCUGAUCCAGCCAUGCCGCGUGCGGGAAGAAGGCCUUCGGGUUGUAAACCGCUUUUGUCAGGGAAGAAACGGUCUGGGUUAAUACCCUGGGCUAAUGACGGUACCUGAAGAAUAAGCACCGGCUAACUACGUGCCAGCAGCCGCGGUAAUACGUAGGGUGCGAGCGUUAAUCGGAAUUACUGGGCGUAAAGCGUGCGCAGGCGGUUAUGCAAGACAGAUGUGAAAUCCCCGGGCUCAACCUGGGAACUGCAUUUGUGACUGCAUAGCUAGAGUACGGUAGAGGGGGAUGGAAUUCCGCGUGUAGCAGUGAAAUGCGUAGAUAUGCGGAGGAACACCGAUGGCGAAGGCAAUCCCCUGGACCUGUACUGACGCUCAUGCACGAAAGCGUGGGGAGCAAACAGGAUUAGAUACCCUGGUAGUCCACGCCCUAAACGAUGUCAACUGGUUGUUGGGAGGGUUUCUUCUCAGUAACGAAGCUAACGCGUGAAGUUGACCGCCUGGGGAGUACGGCCGCAAGGUUGAAACUCAGAGGAAUUGACGGGGACCCGCACAAGCGGUGGAUGAUGUGGUUUAAUUCGACGCAACGCGAAAAACCUUACCUACCCUUGACAUGUCUGGAAUCCUGAAGAGAUUUGGGAGUGCUCGAAAGAGAGCCAGAACACAGGUGCUGCAUGGCCGUCGUCAGCUCGUGUCGUGAGAUGUUGGGUUAAGUCCCGCAACGAGCGCAACCCUUGUCAUUAGUUGCUACGAAAGGGCACUCUAAUGAGACUGCCGGUGACAAACCGGAGGAAGGUGGGGAUGACGUCAGGUCAUCAUGGCCCUUAUGGGUAGGGCUACACACGUCAUACAAUGGCCGGUACAGAGGGUUGCCAACCCGCGAGGGGGAGCCAAUCCCAGAAAACCGGUCGUAGUCCGGAUCGUAGUCUGCAACUCGACUGCGUGAAGUCGGAAUCGCUAGUAAUCGCGGAUCAGCUUGCCGCGGUGAAUACGUUCCCGGGUCUUGUACACACCGCCCGUCACACCAUGGGAGCGGGUUCUGCCAGAAGUAGUUAGCCUAACCGCAAGGGGGGCGAUUACCACGGCAGGGUUCGUGACUGGGGUGAAGUCGUAACAAGGUA
rnacentral:rRNA from 1 species